ACCGUAAAAGUGAAGGAACUUUAUUUUUAANUUUUGAAAUUNNUUUAGANNNAGAAAAGAUAAGUUUUUUUUNGAAGGUAAAAUUUCGAAAAAANUAAUUUUUUCGUUGANNNAUAAUUUUGAAAACUUUUAAGNUGAAACUAGGAUUAGAUACCCUAUUAUCAUUAAAUGUAAAAAAAUNUAGGUAGUAGUAGAUGACUUGAAACUUAAAGAAUUUGGCGGUGUUUUAAUCUAACCAGAGGAACUUGUGUUUUAAAUCGAAAUUACACGUUUCAUCUUACUUAAAUUGAAGUUUGUAUAUCGUCGUAAAAAUAAAAUUUUAAAGUAUAUAUUCAACUUUAUUUAANUGAAAAAUUACAGAUCAAGGUUCAGCUUUUAUUUAAGNAAAACGUGAGUUACAAUACUNNUUAAGGUAAAUGGAUAAAUUUUUNNGAAAGANAACUUUUGAAGGUGGAUUUGGAAGU
rnacentral:rRNA from 1 species